rnacentral:rRNA from 1 species
AACACGGCAGUUAAGCUCUUCAGCGCCGAUGGUAGUUGGGGGUUUCCCCCUGUGAGAGUAGGACGCCGCCAAGC